GAGUGAUAAAGGUGUAUUUUGUUAUGUUAAUGAGGAGUCAGAAAAGAAGAUACAGAGACACACAGAGGGGAGGACCAUGUGAAGACAGAGGCAGAGCUUGGAGUGAUGUGUCUACAAGUCAAGGAAUGCCAAGAAUUGCCAGCAGCCACUAAAAGCUGGAAGAGAGGCCUGGAGGAGAGGCAUGGAGGGAGAGAGCCUCCAGAAGGAAGCAACCCUGCCAAUACCUUGAUUCCAACUUCUGGCCUACAGAACUUUGCAGGUACUCUGUUAGAUUACACAGAAGAGGAGCAUGGUCUCUCUAGUCAAAUUGCUUAAAAUCUGGUACGGGAGAGAGACACCUGCCUAGAAGAUACCACAUAGCACGGAAAAUACAGUGAUAGAAGUUUGCAGAUGGAGACAUUCAGAGGAGAUUCCUGGAACGAGCACUGAAGGAUAUCUAAGCCUGAAGAAGAGAGGGUCAUGGCAUUCCAGGCCAAGGCCUCCACUUCCCUCCCUCAAAUGAAGGUAUUUGGAAAAACAAAAAGGACUGGCCACGGACAAUGUUAUACCUUGAAGAAAUCAAAAAAUGAAAUGUGUUUCACAAUGGG